rnacentral:rRNA from 1 species
GGUUCGAUUCUGGCUCAGAUUGAACGCUUUCGCGGAUGCUUUACACAUGCAAGUCGAACGACAGCAACGGACUUCGGUCUGGUGGCGAGUGGCGAACGGGUGAGUAAUGUAUCGGAACGCCUAGUAGCGGGGAUAACUACGCGAAAGCGUAGCUAAUACCGCUACGCCCUCGGGGGAAAGUAACCUUCGGGCCUCGCACUAUUAGAGCGGCCGAUAUCGGAUUAGCUAGUUGGUGGGGUAACGGCUCACCAAGGCGACGAUCCGUAGCUGGUUUGAGAGGAUGACCAGCCAGACACUGGGACUGAGAUACACGGCCCAGACUCCUAUGGGAGGCAGCAGUGGGGAAUUUUGGACAAUGGGGAAACUCCCGGAUCCAGCCAUCCCGCGUGUGCGAUGAAGGCCUGGCCACAGCAAAGCACUUUUGGCAGGAAAGAACGGCACGGGAUAAUACCCCGUGCAACUGACGGUACCUGCAGAAUAAGCACCGGCUAACUACGUGCCAGCAGCCGCGGUAAUACGUAGGUGCAAGCGUUAAUCGGAAUUACUGGGCGUAAAGCGUGCGCAGGCGGUUCGGAAAGAAAGAUGUGAAAUCCCAGAGCUUAACUUUGGAACUGCAUUUUUAACGCUACCGAGCUAGAUAUGUCAGGAGGGAGGUGGAAUUCCGCGUGUAGCAGUGAAAUGCGUAGAUAUGCGGAGGAACACCGAUGGCGAAGGCAGCCUCCUGGGAUAACACUGACGCUCAUGCACGAAAGCGUGGGGAGCAAACAGGAUUAGAUACCCUGGUAGUCCACGCCCUAAACGAUGUCAACUAGCUGUUGGGGCCUUCGGGCCUUGGUAGCGCAGCUAACGGCGUGGGUUGACGCCUGGGAGCAUGUCAAGAACCAAAAGGAAUUGACGGGGACCGCACAAGCGGUGGAUGAUGUGGAUUAAUUCGAUGCAACGCGAAAACCUUACCUACCCUUGACAUGUCUGGAAUCCCGAAGAGAUUUGGGAGUGCUCGGUAAGAGAACCGGAACACAGGUGCUGCAUGGCUGUCGUCAGCUCGUGUCGUGAGAUGCUGGGUUAAGUCCCGCAACGAGCGCAACCCUUGUCAUUACGCGCGGAAAGGGCAUUUCAUCGAGACUAUCGGUGACAAACCGGAGAAGGGGAUGACGUCAAGUCCUCAUGGCCCUUAUGGGUAGGGCUUCACACGUCAUACAAUGGUCGGGACAGAGGGUCGCCAACCCGCGAGGGGGAGCCAAUCCCAGAAACCCGAUCGUAGUCCGGAUCGCAGUCUGCAACUGACUGCGUGAAGUCGGAAUCGCUAGUAAUCGCGGAUCAGCAUGUCGCGGUGAAUACGUUCGGUCUUGUACACACCGCCCGUCACACCAUGGGAGUGGGUUUUACCAGAAGUAGUUAGCCUAAACUGUAAGGAGGGCGGAUUACCACGGUAGGAUUCAGGGGACGGGGUGUAGUCGUAACAAGGUAG